rnacentral:rRNA from 1 species
UUUAAACGGCUGCGGUAUAUUGACCGUGCUAAGGUAGCAAAAUCAUUUGUUUUUUAAUUGGAAACUGGAAUGAAAGGUUUAACAAAUAAUUAGCUAUUUUGAAAUAUUUAUUAAAAUUUUUGGUUUAUUUAAGAACACAUAAAUACAAAAAAGGGACGAUAAGACCCUAGAAGCUUUAUUAAUUAAUAAUUUAUUAUUAUUUAAAUCUGAAAUAAACUUUUUUUGGCUGGGGCAGUUGUUUUUAUAACAAAUAUUUUUAUAAACAUAUAGGAAUAAAGAUCCUUUAAAUAAGGAUAAAUAGUAAAAGUUACUUUAGGGAUAACAGCAUAAUUAUUAUGGAAAGACCAUAUUUAUAUUAUAGAUUGUGACCUCGAUGUUGAAUUAUAAUUUCUAUAUGAAGCACAAAUUAUAUAAGAAAGUUUGUUCAACUUUUAAAUUUUUACAUGAUCUGAGUC